rnacentral:rRNA from 1 species
CUUUGAGCAGGCUGUUUGCUGGCCCUCGUCAUGGGGGUAUGUGCACGCUUGUCCUUUGUUAUUUCUCCAACUUGUGCACACUUUGUAGACCCUGGAGAUUUUAUGAAUUUUCAUUCGAGUUGGGAUUGCUGUGCUUUGACACUUGGGAAAGUCAGCUUUGCCUUGCCAUCUUCAGGUCUAUGUCAUUUUUUCACAACCUCUUUUAAACACGUACAGAAUGUUGAAUCAGGUCCUUUUGUACCUAUAGAAAUGAAAUAUACAACUUUCAGCAACGGAUCUCUUGGCUCUCGCAUCGAUGAAGAACGCAGCGAAAUGCGAUAAGUAAUGUGAAUUGCAGAAUUCAGUGAAUCAUCGAAUCUUUGAACGCAUCUUGCACUCCUUGGUAUUCCGAGGAGCAUGCCUGUUUGAGUGUCAUUUAACUUCUCAACCACAUCAGAUGAUUGUGGCUUGGAUGUGGGGGUUGGUUUGCAGGCUUUUUCAAUAAGGUCGGCUCCCCUGAAAUGUAUUAGUGGUAUCUGAGGCUAUUGCUAUAGGUGUGAUAAUUUAUCUAUGCCUUUGGCAUGCUGCAUGAACAGAUUGCACUGCUUCCAACAAAGAAAAAAUCUUGACAAAUUUGACCUCAAAUCAGGUAGGACUACCCGCUGAACUUAAGCAUAUCAAUA